GUUGAUCGAAGAAGAGAAGGAGAACACGGAGCAGCGGGCCGAGGAGACUGAGAGCAGGGAGGGCAGGGGGAGCUUAGGCAGCCUCUGUCGUUUUAAAUCAGUGAGCUCCCUCAACCUGCUUCCCACCUCCUCGCAUGCUGGCUCCUGCCCACCCCUGCCCAAGCCCAGAACGAGGCGGCACAGCCCGGCACAGGAGGGAGACCAGCUGGGCAUCAUGACUCUGCUGCCAGCUAUACGGGAAGAGGUAGGAGAUGACAAGACCACCAUCAAAUGUGAAACCUCGACCCCCGCCUUACCGCUGUCCCUUCGGCUGGGCCGCCUGCACACGGGGGCGCUGCACACAGCCACCCAUGAGGACCUCAGGGACGCCCACAACUCGACAGGCUCUCAGGACAGCCCCGGGAACAACCCCAGCAGCGGCACCAGCAGGCAGGACUCGCUGCACAAAGCCCCAAAGAAAAAGGGCAUCAAUUAAGUCCUCCAUCAGCCUCUUGUUUCGCAAGAAGGAAAAGGGCCGGCCUGAAGACCCCAACAAGGAGGCAUUAGGACCAGUGACAUGUGUUUGGAAACUGCCUAAGUGCUCAUCAGUGAGGGGUGAAGUACAAUCUGUGGACACCCCACAAGGAACAGCCCGCCCUCCUUCCUGCCACCUCCCCAUCCAGGAGCUCAUCUGCCCAUGCCCCUACCCCACCCCACAGCCAUGCAGGUCCUCCUGAGGUCCCCUCAUCACACAGGGUUAUCAUUAGGCCCUCAUCUCGCUUGGCUUCAUCUCCUUGAAGACAGGGUAUGUUCCUGCCUCUUCAGCCACAAAUUUGUUGAGUCUUGUUUGUGCUGGGUGUGGGAUUUACGGGGGUAAGUAAAGCAGAUGUGAUCUGGAGCACAGUUAAGUGACAAGAGAGAAAAAGGAGCAGGUUAUUAAAUGUGAUCCCUGUUAUUAAUAUAUACAAUGCUGCGAUGGAUGGUGCAUUGAUUAUAUACAAGAUGCUGUGUGUGCCCCUUCCCAAGCAGGUGUUGCCCCUCAAA
rnacentral:lncRNA from 1 species